rnacentral:lncRNA from 1 species
AUGUUCGUUCCAACCAUCGCUAUCAUGCUCUAUUUUUGUUUUGUUUGAUGUUAUCAUUUUCGUUUCAUCUUAGGUCAUCCACAAUAGUGCAAUACCCACCGCCAACGGCUAUAGUGUUGGGCGUCACCUCAUCACCACAACCUAUCACUAUGACCGUAGGAUGCCUAGCACCAAAACACAACUCCACAUAGGUUCGCCUGAUUAGUAGUUGAAUUACUGAAAGUUUUAUAAAUUUUAUUAAAAGAAAGUUACAAGAAAUCAAUAAAAGGGUUGAUGUUGAACAUUCUAAAAUAAAAGAAUAAAAUAAAAAAAUAAACAAUAAAAAUAAAAAUAAUUUGUAUAUGCAUGUCACGAGAGCAAUGCAAUUAAAUUUUUGCCAAACUUAAAUUUAUAAUCGGUUUAGUUGAUUAAAAUUGAAUAACAUGAUUACAAUGUAAUUAAUGUAAAUGACGAAUACCAUACUAGUGACAAUUAAAAAACUAGAACUUUAGAAAGAUGAGUAAUAUUCUAUUGUGGGUCGUUAUUUUUGUUGGUAUAUUGUUGUUUCUUGUCCCUCUCUUUUACCUUGUUCCUUUUACGUUGAGAGUUUUAAUAAUAUAUGGCCCUUUCAAAAAAAAAAUUCAAAAUCAUCUUUGUUCAUAUUUAUUUUGUUGUUCUUUUUAUUGUAGUUGAAUGAUCGAAUUUGUAAUUUAGCCUAACUUUGGUAUUGCUAUCUUCAAGCUGCAUUAACCGAAGGACGUUUUUGGUGAUUUUGCAUAAACUUUGUUUCUGUAGUGAAAAAAGCAAAUUAAAAAUAUAAUUGUAGAAGCUUUUUCGAUUAUCAGAGUCAGGUUUCGAUCCUGGGACCUGUGGGUUAUGGGUCCACCACGCUUCCGCUGAGCCACUCUGAUAUGAUGAUUGUAUUCUCAAAUUUUUUAUAAAGAUCCCUAAAUUCUAAAAACGGAAGUGUUUCCAACAUCAAUAUAGAGUUGCAUGCUGGCCAAUGACUCUAUUAAUGUCUUCACUAAAUAAGAAAGAUUCAUUAACCACACAUGAACAAAAUCCAAAUUGUGAAUUUAUUUCAAAUUUAAUGUGUACACACCAAUUUUACAAACAAAAAACAUCUAUAUGUGUCAUUUGACUUACGACUUUUAUCAAAUCUUUCAAAAAGUUGAUGGAACAAUAUUGUGCUAGAUAAAGUAGCCAUUUGGGAUUAUGAAACGCAACACAUUUGUGUAUAUUUUAAUUAAUUUUUAAGGAUCUUUUAGACGCUUUUGGUCCACUUUAAUUUGGGUGAUAUUCAAGUAUGGUAUAGAUUAGUUGAUUGAAUGAUUUAAUUUAUGAUGUGUUUAUAUGAUUUAAUUUAGUGUAUAAGCUUUUGAAUCCGAUUUUCUAAGGGACAUUGGUUUUGUAUAAAUAUAACUUUCAUUGGGUUACAUGUGUUACUUGAGUUUGUUUUCUUAGUAUAUUAUGAAGGAUAUCCGAUCUCCCGAGUUCAUGUUCGCUCCAAGCAUCGCUAUCAUGCUCUAUUUUUGUUUUGUUUGAUGUUAUCAUUUUCGUUUCAUCUUAGGUCAUCCACAAUAGUGCAAUACCCACAGCCAACCGCUAUAGUGAUGCGCGUCACCUCAUCACCACAACCUAUCACUAUGACCGUAGGAUGCCUAGCACCGAAACACAACUCCACAUUGGUAUAUUGUUGUUUCUUGUCCCUCUCUUUUACCUUGUUCCUUUUACGUUGAGAGUUUUAAUAAUAAUGGCCCUUUGAAAAAAAAAAUUCAAAAUCAUCUUGGUUAAUAUUUAUUUUGUUGUCCUUUUUAUUGUUGUUGAAUGAUCGAAUUUGUAAUUUAGCCUAACUUAGGUAUUGCUAUCUUCAAGUUGCAUUAACCGAAGGACGUUUUUUGGUGAUUUUGCAUAAACUUUGUUUCU